AUCAAGUGUUCCCCUAAACUCAGUCCCCCAAAUCAAAACCAUAGACACGGCUGAGAAGCAAGCGUGAGGAGGACAACGGGAUCCUUUUGAUAAGUGUUUACACAUCAGAGAUUGUUUCGAAAACGAGAAAUGAGUUCAGAACGACGGAGAAGCGCAAGACUCAUCGAGAGUCCUUGGGUCUACAACUGGCCCAAACAGGCUCCAAUUUAUGUUAAUUUAGUUGAUGAGGAGGAGGAAUCAUUUGCUGGACAACAUAAUUCAAUAAACCAGGCGCUGGAUGCGCUGGAUCCGGUAAACAAAACUUGAAGUGGAGUAGGAAAUAAAAGUUGGACGACCCUUGAAAGUUUGGAUUUGAGAACGGAGGGGGUGAUGGGGAAAACAAGACAAGAUGAGGUUUUUAGUGGCGAGGAACACGACUUUGUUGCCCCUGCUGAACAAUUUGGGAAGAGCAAAUACUCUAGAUUGCAGACUCAUGAACCGGAAGAUAUGAAGAAGAUGGUUACAUUUGGUGCUUGUCAGAAAGCUGAUAAGAUAAUUGAGAAAAGAACUAGACAAGCAGAGUCGUGCAGGGAACAAUGAAAUCUAAUAUGGAUGCUGCAAUUGAUGAGGGUAGUCAAAGAGGAUCAGGACACAAAGUUAUUGCUAAAACGGGGAUAAAGCUCAGUAUAGGUGGUGUUGGGAACUUUGCAAUAUUAAGAUAUCCGUUUAAACGGACGGAAGGGGGUAAAAUCUAUCCACCUGCUAAAAAUCCCAAAAUACAAAAGGACAACCAGAAGGCAGUGCUGAACAAGCUAUGAAUCUUCUAUGCACAUAAAAGAGUCAAUCUAUAAACAGUAAGAAGAAGACGGUGACUAGCGGAGCAACAUACCUGGCCAAGGGGAAGAAAGUUGUUGGAUAGUCAAUCAUAAAAAAUUCACAUAUAAUGUAGGCAAGCAAGUAAUUUGCAAACUGAUUCCUUGAGAUGUUUAAAGGAUCUUAUGAAAGUGUGUUUGGUUUGAUUUGUCACGAAAAACAUAAUGACCUGAAGAAUCUCUUUUUUUAUAAAAAAUUGCAUUUGUAUUUAAAAAUGUU